rnacentral:lncRNA from 1 species
GGGUGUGACUGGUUUUACUUUUCUUAUAACUUAUUCAUUCACAUAAGCAUGAUGUGACAACAUUAACGUAUAGUUUAAAAUUAGGCUAAUGCUUGUGCAAAGGUAUAACAAGUUUUGACUUGAACAAUGUUACAAUUGGAUUCUUUUUAGACAUGAGUAAUUAACGCUCCAUCUCUUCCCUCACAAAGCAAAACCAGCAAAAGAAGUUGAAUGUCCGUCCUUUCUACAAGCUAUAUAUUGGGAGACUGAAUCGAAUAAAGAAUCUCGAGUGCAUGAAUAUAGUAGGGAGGUGGAGUCCAUGAUAAUAUUUUAUUUUAAGAAAUUUAAAACUAAGAUAGAUUAUUAUCAGUCGUGAAAAAAAGACUAACUGUAUUGUCGAUUUUAUAUCGAUAAGGCGUCAAUAUCAUUGUCGAUGACAUGUCAAUAACAAAACUUAUCAAGAUAUUAUCAAUACAUUAUCACCAGUAUCAAUUCAUUUUUAACAAAGGACGAACAUCUUGCACAAAGAAUUUUUGAACCAAACUAAGAAGACUACAUCUUUUUUUGGUCGAAAUCAUAUCUCAUUUCAUUAAAAUGCCAAAUAGGCAAGUGUACAAAGCACAAACCAAUGGCACAAUAGAAUUGUAACACAACCGGAAAAGAACAUAUAAACUCAAAUCAAGUCUAGAACAAAGUUCGUACACCCAGCAUAAUAACCAAAAAAAAAAAAAAAACUCAAAAUAAAACAACACACAUAGUCUAGUGGCCCACCCCAAAUACAAUCAGGGCUCGUUUGGUACGUCGGACUGUACUGACUAAUUUUUGUCGGAUAGUAUUAAUUUGUUCCGGAGAGUACUGACUAUUUAUCCAUAAUAUUAUAAGGCGUUUGGUGCUGUUCCGGAUAAAUAGUCAGACUAAGUUAUACUGUGUUUGGUGAUGUUCCGGAUAACAUCAGAUCAGACUAUUUUUAAAAUAAAAAAAAAUUUCUUUGAUAAUUUUAAUGGAAAUUGAGAUUCAAAUGACACGAAUUUUUUUUGGUAAGAUUCAUAUGACAAGAUUUGUUUUUC